rnacentral:rRNA from 1 species
AGUGAACGCUGGCGGUAGGCCUAACACAUGCAAGUCGAACGGCAGCACAGUAGUAGCUUGCUCUUACGGGUGUCGAGUGUCGGACGGUUGAGUUAUACAUCGGAAUCUACUUUUUCGUGGGGGAUAAUGUAGGGAAACUUACGCUAAUACCGCAUACGACCUACGAGUGAAAGCAGGGGAUCUUCUAACCUGUCGCGAUGGAAUUAGCCGAUGUAGGAGUAGCUAGUUGGCGGGGUAAAGGGCCACCACGGCGACGCUCCGUAUCUGGUCUGAGAGGAUGAUUCGAUAGCUUGUAACUGAGACACGGCAGAGACUCCUACGCGAGGACGCAGUGGAGAAUACUGGACGAUGGGGGAAAGCCUGAUCCAGGCCUACCGCGUGGAUCAAGAAGGAGUCAGGGUUGUAAAGCCAUUUUGUUGGGAAAGAAAAGAAGCAGGUUAAUACGCCGAUGUUCUGACGGUACCAACAGAAUAAGCACCGGCUAACUUCGUG